UGCCAGCCGCCGCGGUAAUACGGAGGGACCUAGCGUUGUUCGGAAUUACUGGGCGUAAAGGGUGCGUAGGCUGCACGGAAAGUUGGGUGUGAAAGCCCUCAGCUCAACUGAGGAAUUGCAUCCAAAACUGCCGUGCUUGAGGGAGACAGAGGUGAGCGGAACUCAAGGUGGAGCGGUGAAAUGCGUUGAUAUCUUGAGGAACACCGGUGGCGAAAGCGGCUCACUGGGUCUCUUCUGACGCUGAGGCACGAAAGCUAAGGUAGCAAACGGGAUUAGAUA
rnacentral:rRNA from 1 species